rnacentral:lncRNA from 1 species
CAGAAGCCCCGCCCCUUCUUCCUGUGUUGGGAGUGGGGGUGAAGGUGGGACUUCCUGUCUGUGUUUCUUUUAGGGGAGGGACUUCCUGUGAUGGGGAGGUGUGGAGGUGGGACUUCCUGUCUGUCUGUCUGUCAAAUGAGGGACUUCCUGUUUUGGAAGUGGGGUGAAGGUGGGACUUCCUGUCUGUGUGGCAGUUGGGGGAAAGACUUCGUAUGUUGUUGGAGGGGUGGGGGGUGGAACUUCCUGUCUGUCUUUCUAUCAGAGGAGGGACUUCCUGUGUUGGAAGUGGGGUGUGGAUGGGACUUCCUGUUUCUGCUGGCCCGGUGGGUGGGACUUCCUUUCUUCCUGCGGUGGGAACGGGAAAGCGGUGGGACUUCCAGUCUCUCCCCGAAUUGUGACUUCCUGCCCCGGGUGGGUGGGACUUCCUGUUUCAGCCGGAAGUGCUGAGGACGCUGCUGUGGGAGGCAGUGGAGGCGCAGCAGCAGCGGAUGGAGGAGGUGCGCUCAGCGCGGGGCUGCCUCCCCCUGCGGGGUCCUCUGGUACCGGAUGGAUACGGCAUCGGGGUGGGACAUGCCCCUUCCACUUCCGGUUCCAAUGAGCCCACUUCCGGUCCCAAGGAGUCCACUUCCGGUCCCGCCCACCCCGCUUCCUAUCCGAAGGAGCCCACUUCCGGUCGAGAGGAUCCAUCUUUUGACCCUACCCAGUCCACUUCCGGUCACGCCCGCACCAUUUCCUGCCCCAUCGAACCCACUUCCGGUCAAGGAACGUCAUCUUCUGACCCCACCCAACCCACUUCCGGUCACUCCCAGGCCAUUUCCGGUCACACCCGACCCGCUUCCGGUUAUACCCAGCCCACUUCCGGUCCCGCCCGUUUACGCGUGGCCGUUUCCGCUUUCGCUUCCUGCGGUGGGACGGGAGCGGAGCGUUUGGGGGCGGAGCUUCGCACGGCUCUCGACCAAUUAGGAGCGCUGCUGAGGGGAGAGCGCCCCCCUGCGGCCGGCGGGUGAAAGGAACAGGAAAAGGGCUGGGGUGAGGAGGGGUGGGACCGGAAAUGAAGUGGGAGGAACCGGAAGUAGGGGGGGAGGAGGGCCGGAAGGAGGUCGGGUGGGUUAAAAUGACAGCGGUGGGGAAGAAAAUGGGGUUUGGAAAACAGGAAGUGGGGGGUGAGUGGGGGGAAAUCGGGUCGGGAGAACCGGAAGUGGGGCGGGGAGGGCCGGAAGUGGGGGUUGGGUGGUGUAAAAAACGAGGGACGG